UAAAUUUGGCCCCAAGUAUGAGGAGAGAGCUCUUUUACUUGAUAUUCCAGCAUGUUGCAACUAUGUUCUCAGUAUGUGGGAUCAUAAAAUGAUAAGGAUCUAAGCUAACUCUGAUCCCUAUAAGAGGUUUUAUGGACAGAGUAAUGUGGAUGGCUAGUGUAAAGUUAUUAUUAGAUAGUUAAGUAGAUGAAAUAAACUGCAGUCCAUUACCGUGCUAAUAUACUGAAUUACAACAGCCGAUACUAUAUUUGGGAUUUGGAAGGAGAUGAUCACCCAUGCUUGACGCAAGUACAAAAUUGAGCCGCUAAAGUUAUGACUUUAUUUUGGAUAUUGGCAAAACAUGAUUGAUAUAUUUACAAAUGACUUCACCAUUGUUACAGUAUUCUUUAUACUGGCAAUAGAGGUUGACUGGGUAUACAUAUAUAAGACUCUCCCUUCCAAUAUAUAAGAUCACAUCACCAGCUUUACAAAAGUGAGUGAUCUUAUAUAUUGGUAGGAGGUAGUAUCAUUCAGAUAUGGACACACUUGCAAUUGCUCUUGGACCAUACCACGCUCUCAACUGUUAGCCAUAGGCUUGUGAAUACUGAUGGCAUCCAUGUCUUGUUGCAGGAACUAAUUAAAUGAGGCGAUUAGCAGAGACGCUUUGUUAAGCUUGGCUUAUGGGGAUUGAUGAGGCAGCACUAUGGUUGUGCCAUACGAAAAUCCUCCAAAACGGUCUUUGCUUCCGCUUUGACAUCAACUCGGAUUCCGUUUUCCUAAGCAUUUCCCACAUCACCUGAACAUCCUCGUAUCCACAGGUUUGUAUAUCAUUGUGAAGCUUCAAAAGACCAGCACCUGAACCAAACAGUACCAUGGAGACAGAAAAGUAAGUAAUCUUUGUUUGAAACUGGUAGUUUCUGAUUGCAAAAAAACUACGCAGUUGCACAGUGGGUAGUGGGCACAUUAAUAACAACAGCCAGGAUGCAAAAAAAGUCAAAAAGAAAGGGAAGAUAUCGUUGUCCUCCUAAUUUUGGGAGAGCGACUUUCCUUUUCUAGCAAUUACAAUCAACCUUUGCAUUUUUCUUUUACUUUUUCCUCCAAUCUAAAAGAAUUGAAAUGGUAUUUUAAUUUUUCAGUGGUGGAAUAUCAUUUCUAGUAUAAGUUACAACACUCAUUACUCAUGGUACAAUUGUAUAAUGCUACCAUUUCCAGCUCUAGAAUCUAGAAAUUUCAUUCCCCUAAAAGAAAGUGAUAUUCAAGUUAGGUCAUUGAUUUGGUUGGUAGAUAUAUACUAAAGUAGUCUCUGUUCCAUAAUUGAAGAAUUUGAGUGGAACCAGCCAAGUACCAUUAUUAUAUUACUCCUAUAUCUUUAUUGAUAAGUGAAGUGAAGGAUCAGAAACCAUCUUUGAUUAGAACUUCAAAAUUUCACCAAAAAAGUUUUAGAGAGCAUUCUUAAUUAACACAUAAAUGGAAAUAAUUGUCCUGAUUGCAAUUUAUUCUUUUGUCUAUUUAAUUAUUGUUUCAUCAGGAGUAUUCAACUCAAAUUUAAAGGAAUUAAUCUGGAAUUAGAUAUUAAACAAACUAACAGCGACUUUUAGUGGAUUUAUCCUCUUCCUAGUGGUCGUGACCAUCAUUGUUAGUGGCAUCUUUCGUGCAAUGUUUAAAAAUGGUUUAAGAAAUGUCUUUACCAGAGUCUCGAAAUGGACCUUUAUUAACUUGUUAUGGUAAACUAAAUUUGACUGCUGACAAAAUAAUUUACUUUGUUGUAAUGAUAGUUAAUUUCUAUUUUAAGGGCUCACUCCCUUAUUUUACAUAACAUGUAUGUUCACCUUUUUUAGCGACAAUUCGGUCCAUCGCUAUAUUAGAGAACUGUCAUCUUAGUUUUUAGUAAUGGACAACAUAUAACGACGGAUCGAACCGUGUUUGAUCCUUUCCGUGUGUGUGUGUGUAUAUAUAUAUAUAGAAAGAGUCUCUCAAACGGACUGUUUGUUUACGAACAGUCUUAGUUGGCUUUUUAAAUUAAAUAAGUUGACCUAAACAAGACAUUCACUAAAAAACAAAAGUAUCCAAACAAAACUUAUGAGGCACUCUCUUCCCUCUCCAUACCACGUAUUCUCUUCUCCCUCUGCAUACCAGCAAAAAACAAUCCAGCAAUUGAAAAGUCAUUCCGCCCAUCCCUCCCAAGUUCGACGUCCUCCCAAAUUCGACGAUCUCGAUUUCAAGUAAUACUUUUUCUCUCUUUUCAGAUUUGGGUUUAAACAAAAUGAAGAAGAAAAGGAACCUAGAUUUAAACCUAGAUCUAGAUAACUAAAUCAGUGUAUAAAUUUUGCCAAUGCAUAUAUAGAACUUAAUUUCUCUAAAAAGAAAAAAAAGUCCUAAUUUUGGAUUAAUUGUUCUGCUUUUUUUCUUCUUUACAAAACAGAACAAUUAAUGUUAGGGCAUUAAGUGCAAUUAAUGUGAGGGCAUUAAGUGAAAAAUUGUCUAUAAAAACUGUCAUUUUUGAAAUAUAUCUCUAAUUUAAGAACAAAUGAAGUUUUUUGAUAUCUAUGCUCAUAAUAUAUUAGGGUUGCAAUGCCACUUUAAGACAAAUAUAUAAAUUUCUUAAGUCCAUUAAUAUUUGUUGAGUUGUAGUACUGUUCAAGCAAACUUGGCCCGAAUUGUACAAUUAUUGAGUUGUUGAAUUGUGGCUUGUUACUUUAACAGCCUUCUUGCACUCCUGAAUUUUAAUUAGCAGGGGAACAAUGAGGAGUUUAACAUGUCUGAUUUAGUACACAUGUACAUCAUUUUUUAAAUGAGGACUUCUAAUACUUUAUUAUCUUUUUUCUAUGUGAAUAAUUUUUUGCAUAAUUUUUGUAUAUUUACAGAUUGUUAAAAUGGACACUAUGGACUUAGAGUUUGGGAGUUAUGACAAUGUUGAUUUAAACGUAGGAGAGAGUGAUGAGUUAGAAGAGUCAAAUUCCAUUUAUAAUCCUCAAGUAAGACUUGAGCUAAAGUCCAAAAAAGGACAACAAUUUGAAACAUUAGAAGAUGUCAAAAAUUUUUACAAUGCAUAUGCAAAAGAGGCCGGAUUUAGAAUUCGAAGUUGGACCCAAAGGAAUAAAGGGGGAAGGAGUGAAGAAAUCAUAAUGAAAGAAUAUGUUUGUUUUAAGGAAUGACGGGGUUCAAUAGUAGCAGAUACUGAUACACAGGUGUCGAGAGAAUGUGAAAGAGAAUUGGAAAGCUAAAAUUGCAUUUUUGAAAUCAAAAUCUAAAUUUUUUUGUUGUGAGUGUAUUUAUUGAAGGGCAUAGUCACGUAUUGUUCACCCCAAGAAAAGUCCAUCUUUUAAGAUCUCACCGCAAUGUUUCUAAUGCCCAAAAAUGCUUAACGCAAUAACUUGGAAUGGUAAAUAUACUACUGCAUCAACAAUGUAAUUUUUUGGGAGUUCAAGCAGGGGGGUUAUAAAAUAUAGGAUGUACGCAAAAAGAUUUAUAUAAUUAUGAGAGAGAUAACGUAAUGAGAUAAAGGGGCAUGAUGGUGGUAUGUUGGUUGAAUAUUUUAAAUUAGAACAUAUCAAGAAUUCUUCUUUCAUAUUUCAAAUUGAAUCAGAUGAUGAAAAUCGUAUUAUUUGUUAUUUUUGGGCCGAUGAAAAUUCUAAAUGGGCUUAUAACUUUUAUGGUGAUGUGAUAAUAUUCAAUACUACAUACAAUACCAACCGGUAUGGAAUGAUUUUUGCACCAUUGUUGGGGGUUAAUAAUCAUGGGUAAACCAUUAUCUUUGUUUGUGCUUUCUUAUCUGAUGAGACUGUAGAUUCUUUUGUUUGGCUUUUUAAUCAAUUCAUAGAAUCUAUGCCAGGUGAUGCUCCAAAGAUGAUUUCCAACGAUGGCGAAAGCUAUUUCUGAAACUUUUCCAAGUAUUUAUCAAAGGUAUUGUAGUUGGCACAUUUUGACAAAUUUUUUUGAGAAAUUAGAUUCGGUAAAAUAUGCUCAAUACUAUAAGGAAUUUUCAGAUUGUAUAUGAAAAUCAGAAAGUAUAGAAGAGUUUGACUCUAGGUGGUUGCGUCUUGUUCUCAUAAGUGGGUUGAAUGAGAAUAAAUGGCUAAAGUCAAUGUUUGAAAUUCAUUCAAGAUGGGUGCCUGCAUAUGUUAAUCAUGUUUUCUCGGCCGUUAUGUCAAGUAGCCAACGAGCUGAGGGCACUCAUGCAUUCUUCAAGAAAUAUGUUAACAAAAGAAAUUCAUUGGUGGAUUUUAUGAUUCAGUUUAGUAGGGGUCUUGCACACCAACGUCAUGAAGAAUUAAAGGUCGACAAUAAAGACAUGAAUAAAAAGCCUAAGGUGAAAAUGCUCCACUCUUUUUUGUUACAAAUGAUUGAUAUUUACACAUGUGAAUUAUUUUAUAUUUUUCAAGAUGAGUUGUAAGGGAGCUUCUUGAAUUAUAAAUUCCAGCUCAUUGGAGAUUAUGAUAAUCAUUGUGUAUAAUAUUAAAAAAAUGAUGAUAAGUAUAAAAAACUUGUAAAAAAUUUGAGAGCGUUGGAAUUUCUUGUAGGUAUCUUUUAGCUUAUUUGAACAAAUUUCAUGAUCUAGAGAAACUUCUAAAUAAGUACAUAUUAAAGAGAUGGACUCAAUCUGCAAAAUGUGAGAAUGCUAGAGAUGAUGCAGGAAUGGAGAUAAAUGAUGACAAAUUAUAUCUCACGUUGCGGAGUCAAUUGGUUCAAGAAUCUAUGAAAGUUGUUGAUAAGGCACUUGUAACUGUGGAAGGAACUAAGAUAUAUAGGGAUGCUUUGAGUAAUGCACUUGAGAAAAUGAAUAUAUUGAAUAAUGAUGAUAAAAGUGUAGGAGUUUCUGGUGAAAAAAUUGGUCUUGAUAUACUUAGUUAAGUGAAAUUGAGUUCAACACAUGAACAUAUGCUUCAAGAACCGAGUCAAGUGCGGGCAAAUGGGUGCGGAAAAAGGCUCAAAGGCGGAAAAGAAAGAGCAUUAGGGAGGGUAAAAAAACAGAAACCGAGAAUGUGUCGUUGAUGUGGAAAAAUUGGACAAGCACAUGAUAAAAGAAAUUGUCCAAUACUUCAACUCAGGCAACAAAUCUUUUUAUUUCUGUUUUAUCAUUUUAAUUUGAUUUUGGCAAAAUAAUGAAUAUAUUUUUUAUUUAAUGUGAUUUUAUUGAAUUUUUUGUAGGUCGUCGGUAUGCUCUGAAUAUUCUAAUUCAAAUGCAAGUGAAGACGAUGGCGAAAAUUAUUCAUCUACUUGAUCGACUACUAUUUUUAUUUUUUUGACUAUGUAAUGGUUAUUGAAGUUGUGUGUAGUUAACCAAGGUUGUUAAUUCACUAGAAUUAUGUUUUAUUGGCUAAUGUAAUUGAAAUUCUAAUUUUUGGAUUGAUGUAUUUAAUUGAUAAUUUAUAAAUUGUGUCAAAAUUAAUAAUUAGUUUUUAUUUUUUUUUAUUUUUUUCGAUGGUAUGCAGAGAGAGAAGAGAAUACAUGGUAUGGAGAGGUAAGAGAGAAGAGAGAAUGCCUGAUAAAUUUUGUUUGGAUACUUGAGUUUUGUUUUUUAGUGAAUGUCUUAUUUAGGUCCACUUAUUUAAUUUAAAAAGUCAGCUAAGUACGUCUUGUUUAACUUAGAUAAUGAUUGUCAAGUUAGACUGUUCGUAAACAAACAGUCCAUUUGUGAGCUUUAUUGUAUAUAUAUAUAUAUAUAUAUAUAUAUAUAUAUAUGUUAUUGAACAAAUGACCAAAAGGCAAAAACAACCCCAUGUUAGGACCAAUCUUUUAUAUUCAUUUAUUUUAGAUAGUUGGCACCGAACUAGUAAUUGUUUUAAAUGGCUUUAGCAUUAAUUAUAAAAGAUAAAAAUAAAAUUGGCCUUUUAGAUAGAGGUGUGCAUUUUUUUUUUGUUUUUUCGGUUUUUGGAUGAAUCAGACCGGUCCGAACCGGCCGAUUUGGUAUAAAUAUCAAGCGGUUCGAUUUCGGUACAAAAAAUCGGUACGUACCGGUUAAACGGUACCGGUUUCGAUUUCUUGUUUUCUUGGUUCGGUAUAAACCGGACCGGACCGGUUCGUAACGGUUUUCUAAUUUUUUAUUAUUAUUAAUAAAUAAUUAAUAAUAAUAAUAAAAUAAUAAUUAUAAUAAUAAUAAUAAUUAUAUUAAUUUUCGGUAAAAACCGAUACCGAACCGGUACCGCCGGUUCGGUAUACCGGUCCAACCGGUACCGGUAUCGGUAUCAAGAUUUGGCCUAUUUCAGUUCCGGUUUGGUUGGUACCGGUCUGGUUCGGUCCGGUAAAAACCGGUUGAACACCCCUACCUUUAGACGGACGGACGGACCAAGUGAUGUAAUGAAGGAAAAGAAAUGAAGGUGAUGAAAAAGAACGAUCGGAGAAAAGUGUUAUGAGCACAGAAUUAACAGACUUCCAAGUUAAUUGACAGUUGUUUGUUUAAAAUUUAAAUUAAAAGGGACUUCUUGUAUAAAUAAAGAUGGAUAGAGAGGGGGAUGUUUUAUCUGAAAAAAUGUAUUUCUUUUGGCUCUUUGUUCCUUGUUAUGUAUCAAACUCUUUCCAUUAAUCCAAAUCUUUCCAUUGUUUUUCCUUUAUUUUAUCUUUUGAGUUCUUAAUUUUGUGAUUGUUAAUCACAACAAUCGGUAUCAAAGCUACCUGUCCUUGGCAUUAGCUUCCAUUCAUGGCGGCCGGAACACGUUCGAAGGGAGGAGGGAUUACACAACGUACAAAUAUUGAUGAAUAGUCAUCACCAGCUAUAACGUUCAUUGGAGAUAAAUUCAAGAAUAUGCAGAGUACUUCCAACACAAUCUUAAAGGUAAAGGAAUUGCUUCUAAUUGAAUCUUUUGUAGAUUUAACUCAGGCUACUAUAGGAAAUGGGGAAUCAUAACACAAUUCAUAAUUCUGUUAUGGGAAAUACGACUUAGUCAGCUUUGAUUUUCCUGUUUUCAAUGGAUCGGAUAUUAAAAAUUAGGUAAUGAAAUGUGAAUAUUUUUUUCAAUUUUAUCCUAUAAAUGAUUUGAUGAGGCAGAGAAGUGUGGCUGAAUCUUGGUUUCUUGCCUAUUUUAAGUCUAAUUCCAAUGUGUCAUGGAAGCAGCAGUUUGUGGAAGAUGUAGAAAUCAGAUUUGGGAAAACUUUCUAUAGUGUAAUUCAAUAGGUUACAACAAACCUUUUCAGUAACCCAUUAUCAGAAGAUAUUUGAGUUCCUUAGAUCACUUGUUUGUUGGAUAUUUUCAUUAUCUAAAGUAUAUAAUAAAUAUAUUAUAUGUUAUCCAUGUAACCAACAAUUAAUAUUGGUUCAGUUGGAUAAGAGAGAUUUGUUGAUCCUAAGGACUUGGGUUCAAGCAAAAAUUUUCAACAUUGUUGAGGCUGAAAAUUCAAGAUUGGAUGAGGCAUAUUUUGUGGGUGGAUUGACGGAUGAGAUGGGGGGAUUUGUUAGGCUUCUUAAGCCUCAGAAAUUGAUUGAGACUAUUGCAGCAACUAGAGUACAAGAGAGUACUAUUGAGUUAAUUUACAAAAAAAUAAUAAUUUAACUUCAAAUUUUCGCAAACCUAUAGGAAGUACUGAAGGAAGUAGUUCUUUUGGGCCAAGUAACACACCUAUGCCACAACCUCGAGGAACU
rnacentral:lncRNA from 1 species